rnacentral:rRNA from 1 species
GAUGAACGCUGGCGGCGUGCCUAAUACAUGCAAGUCGAGCGAACGGACGAGGAGCUUGCUUCUCUGAUGUUAGCGGCGGACGGGUGAUUAACACGGGGACAACCUACCUAUAAGACUGGGAUAACUUCGGGAAACCGGAGCUAAGACCGGAUAAUAUUUUGAACCGCAUGGUUCAAAAGUGAAAGACGGUCUUGCUGUCACUUAUAGAUGGAUCCGCGCUGCAUUAGCUAGUUGGUAAGGUAACGGCUUACCAAGGCAACGAUGCAUAGCCGCCCUGCAAGGGUGAUAGGCCACACUGGAACUGAGACACGGUCCAGACUCCUACGGGAGGCAGCAGUAGGGAAUCUUCCGCAAUGGGCGAAAGCCUGACGGAGCAACGCCGCGUGAGUGAUGAAGGUCUUCGGAUCGUAAAACUCUGUUAUUAGGGAAGAACAUAUGUGUAAGUAACUGUGCACAUCUUGACGGUACCUAAUCAGAAAGCCACGGCUAACUACGUG